AGCAGCCGCGGUAAUUCCAGCUCCAAUAGCGUAUAUUAAAGUUGUUGCAGUUAAAAAGCUCGUAGUUGAAUUUCGGGAUCAAUCUGCCGGUCGUGCCUCCGGUAUGCACUGGUUUUAUUGGUUUCUCCCUUCUGACGAAUCAUGAUGUCAUUAAUUUGGUGUCAUGGGGAAUCAGGACUGUUACUUUGAAAAAAUUAGAGUGUUUAAAGCAGGCUCACGCUUGAAUACAUUAGCAUGGAAUAAUGAAAUAGGACGUUUGACCCUAUUUUGUUGGUUUCUAGGAUCGACGUAAUGAUUAAUAGGGAUAGUUGGGGGCAUUAGUAUUCAAUUGUCAGAGGUGAAAUUCUUGGAUUUAUUGAAGACUAACUACUGCGAAAGCAUCUGCCAAGGAUGUUUUCAUUAAUCAAGAACGAAAGUUAGGGGAUCGAAGACGAUCAGACACCGUCGUAGUCCUAACCAUAAACUAUGCCGACUAGGGAUCGGAUGAUGUUAAUUUUUUAAUGACUCAUUCGGCGCCUUA
rnacentral:rRNA from 1 species